CUUGCUCCCCUGUCAACAAAUCAACCUUCAGAUAUUAAAAUUAUCCAUUUAGUUAACACCACCAGAUUGAGUUGUUUUCUCUCUUAAGUGUUACAAUUAGAAUAAAAGAGAAAAGUGAUUAAAUAUUCAUAUUUAUUGAAUACAGUUCUUGAAUUGGUCACCAACAAAAGUUGACUUUGCUUAGUCUAUAGGGACUACACUACUGCAGGUCACAUCAAGUUUGUACAUUCAAUCAUUUGUAGUGCAGCUCAGGUACAAUUUUAUAUAUAUAUGACAUCAUAUGAAAAAACAAAAAACUACUCAAUUUUCUAAAGUAAAACACACACACAGAUUCCUCUGAUGUAAUAAAUAUGCUGUCAACUUGUUCCUUAAAUAAAACCAUAAAUAGUGAGUUAUUUACACUUAGUACAGUUAAUACCUAGUGAGGGUGAAACAGACUAAUACGUACACUAUCAACCCUGCAUAUUAGCACCACCAUUAAGUUGCUCAAUUCUCACCCACAAACAUUUCAUUGCAUGCUAUAUCAACACAAAGGGACAAAGAGCCAAAAAAUGUGGAAGUCAAGACAAUAGAUAAAAAUGGCUGUUGAUUCUCACUAUAGAUUGACUGUACACGAAACAAAAUGAGGAUAGUGACAAUUUAUUUACAAUGACCUGUUAGACACUGUACAGAAUAGUUUAAAGACAAAAUGACAUUAGGAAUGUCGCCACUUUUACAUCACAUCACACUCACUGUCCAUCUUCAAUAGAAAUCUCUGUGAUUUACUUGUAAUGAUUAGGGGGGGG